rnacentral:rRNA from 1 species
GACGAACGCUGGCGGCGUGCCUAAUACAUGCAAGUUGAGCGCUGAAGGUUGGUACUUGUACCAACUGGAUGAGCAGCGAACGGGUGAGUAACGCGUGGGGAAUCUGCCUUUGAGCGGGGGACAACAUUUGGAAACGAAUGCUAAUACCGCAUAAAAACUUUAAACACAAGUUUUAAGUUUGAAAGAUGCAAUUGCAUCACUCAAAGAUGAUCCCGCGUUGUAUUAGCUAGUUGGUGAGGUAAAGGCUCACCAAGGCGAUGAUACAUAGCCGACCUGAGAGGGUGGUCGGCCACAUUGGGACUGAGACACGGCCCAAACUCCUACGGGAGGCAGCAGUAGGGAAUCUUCGGCAAUGGACGAAAGUCUGACCGAGCAACGCCGCGUGAGGGAAGAAGGUUUUCGGAUCGUAAAACUCUGUUGGUAGAGAAGAACGUUGGUGAGAGUGGAAAGCUCAUCAAGUGACGGUAACUACCCAGAAAGGGACGGCUAACUACGUG